UACGUAGGGGGCUAGCGUUGUCCGGAUUUAUUGGGCGUAAAGAGCGUGUAGGCGGCCAGGUAGGUCCGUUGUGAAAACUCGAGGCUCAACCUCGAGACGUCGGCGGAAACCCUCUGGCUAGAGUCCGGAAGAGGAGAGUGGAACUCCUAGUGUAGAGGUGGAAUUCGUAGAUAUUAGGAAGAACACCAGUGGCGAAGGCGGCUUACUGGUCCGGUACUGACGCUGAGGUGCGAAAGCGUGGGGGAGCAAACAGG
rnacentral:rRNA from 1 species